AUUGAACGCUGGCGGCAGGCCUAACACAUGCAAGUCGAGCGAGCAGCGGACGGGUGAGGAAUGUAUGGGGACUGCCCGAUAGAGGGGGAUAACUACUGGAAACGGUAGCUAAUACCGCAUACUAUCGGAUAACCCAUAGGGGAUUGGAUAGUAGGUGAGGGAAUGGUUCACCUAGGCGACGAUCCCUAGCUGGUCUGAGAGGAUGAUAAGCCACACUGAGACUGAGACACGGCCCAGACUCCUACGGAGGCAGCAGUGGGGAAUAUUGCACAAUGGGCGCAAGCCUGAUUCAGCCAUGCCGAGUGUAUGAAGAAGGCACUAGGGUUGUAAAGUACUUUCAGUCGGGAUGCGUUACCGAAAGAAGAAGCACCGGCUAACUCCGUGCCAGCAGCCGCGGUAAUUC
rnacentral:rRNA from 1 species